rnacentral:rRNA from 1 species
GACGAACGCUGGCGGCGUGCUUAACACAUGCAAGUCGAACGGAAAGGACCUGCAUUUGUGGGGUGCUCGCAUGGCGAACGGGUGAGUAACACGUGAGUAACCUGCCCUUGACUUUGGGAUAACUUCUUGAAACUGGGGCUAAUACCGGAUAGGUGCUCCUGCUGCAUGGUGGGGGUUGGAAAGUUUCGGCGGUUGGGGAAGGACUCGCGGCUUAUCAGCUUGUUGGCGGGGUAGUGGCUUACCAAGGCUUUGACGGGUAGCCGGCCUGAGGGGGGGACCUGCAACAUUGGGACGGAGAUGAGGCCCAGACUCAUACGGGAGGCAGGGGUGGGGAAUAUUGCACUAUGGGCGGAAGCCUGAUGCAGCAACGCCGCGUGCGGGAUGACGGCCUUCGGGUUGUAAACCGCUUUCGCCUGUUACGAGGAGUGAGUGACGGUAAUGGGUAAAGAAGCACCGGCUAACUACGUG